rnacentral:misc_RNA from 1 species
GUCGUAACAAGGUUUCCGUAGGUGAACCUGCGGAAGGAUCAUUUUUGUUGCCUCGACCGAGCUAAACCCGUGCAUUGGUUACAAUUCCCGGGGAGGUCGUAGUUGCCAUUGCAGCUCGAGCACUCCACGAACUGUGGGGGCAUGUGCGCUCCAUGCCGCACUGCGCCUACGUACACAACAAACCCCGGCGCGGAAUGCGUCAAGGAAUCAACAAACGUACAGUGCGUCCUAUUGGGGCCGGAAGUGGCUUUCGAUGGGGCCGUGUCGCUUAAUUGAGUCUGGAAUGACUCUCGGCAACGGAUAUCUCGGCUCUUGCAUCGAUGAAGAACGUAGCGAAAUGCGAUACUUGGUGUGAAUUGCAGAAUCCCGUGAACCAUCGAGUCUUUGAACGCAAGUUGCGCCCGAAGCCAUUAGGCUAAGGGCACGCCUGCCUGGGUGUCACCAAUCGCCACCCCAAUCCCUGUGCCUCUGGCCCGGAAGAGGGGUGAAUGAUGGCUUCCCGUGAGCGUCGGCUCGCGGUUGGUUUAAAACACUAUCCGUGCCGGCUUAAGCUCCGUGACACUUGGUGGUUGAGUUUAGUUCUCGAGGCCAGUCAUGGGUGCCCAAGGCGGCUGUGGAAAAUGGUGACCCGUUAGCGGCAUAGGACCGCUCAUGAUGCGACCUCAGGUCAGGCGGU